GACAGAGGUGCCAAGCGUUAGGCGGAAUCACUGGGCUUAAAGCGUGUGUAGGCGGGCGGGCAAGUACCUUGUGAAAUCCCACGGCUCAACCGUGGAACGGCUGGGUAUACUGCCUGUCUUGAGCCAACUAGGGGCGAGCGGAACAGACGGUGGAGCGGUGAAAUGCGUAGAUAUCGUCUGGAACGCCGAAGGUGAAAACAGCUCGCUGGGGUUGUGCUGACGCUGAGACACGAAAGCCAGGGGAGCGAACGGG
rnacentral:rRNA from 1 species